GGGCGAUUAGCUCAGCGGGAGAGCACUGGCCUCACAUGCCAGGGGUCACAGGUUCAAGCCCUGUAUCGCCCACCA
rnacentral:tRNA from 1 species